rnacentral:tRNA from 2 species
GGCAGCGUAGCUCAGUUGGUUAGAGCGUAGGACUCAUAAGCCUAAGGUCACAAGUUCAAUCCUUGUCGCUGCUACCA